AGGCUAGUAUGAAUGAAUAAACAUUUUUUUACUGUCUCACUAUAAAAAAUAAAAAUUUACUUUCAGGUGAAGAGGCCUGAAUAUACAAAAAAGACAAGAAGACCCUGUCAAGCUUUAUUUAUUAUCUUAAUCCUAAAAGAUAAGAAAUUUUGUUGGGGCAACAAAAAAUAAUAAAAAUCAUUUCUCUACUUAAGGAAUAUUUUCCUAUAAAAAAACCUUAAAAUUAAUUAAAAGAAAGCUACUGCAGGGAUAACAGGCUAAUACUUUUCAAGAGCUCAUAUCAACAAAAGUGAUUGGCACCUCG
rnacentral:rRNA from 1 species